AACGAACGUUGGCGGCGUGGAUUAGGCAUGCAAGUCGAACGCGAAUCCCUGGGCAACUGGGGAGGAGAGUGGCGAACGGGGCAGUAAGGCGUGGGUAACCUACCCUCCGGGCCGGGAUAGCUUCGGGAAACUGAAGGUAAUACCGGGCGACGCAUCGAGAUCGCAUGGUCUUGCUGCCAAGGGUCCGCGGCCGGGGGAGGGGCUCACGUGGUAUUAGCUAGACGGCGGGGUAACGGCCCACCGUGGCAAAGAUGCCUAGCAGGUGUUAGAGCACGACCUGCGCCGCUGGCACUGAGACACUGGGCAGACGCAGACGGGUUGCUGCAGUGGGGGAUCGUCGGCAAUGGGCGCAAGGCUGACGGGGCGAAGCCGCGUGUGCGAUGAAGGCCUUCGGGUUGUAAAGCACUGUCGAGGGGGAGGAAGCCGCAAGGUUGACGGAUCCCUGGAGGAAGCACGGGCUAAGUUCGUG
rnacentral:rRNA from 1 species